rnacentral:hammerhead_ribozyme from 1 species
CUUCAGCUGACGAGUCCUAAAUAGGGCGAAACGCGCUUCCUGGAU